CAAGAACACCAGUGGCGAAGGCGGCUCACUGGCCCGGUACUGACGCUGAGGUGCGAAAGCGUGGGGAGUAAACAGGAUUGGAUACCCUGGUAGUCCACGCGUAAACGAUGGAUGCUAGCCGUUGGGCAGCUUGCUGUUCAGUGGCGCAGCUAACGCAUUAAGCAUCCCGCCUGGGGAGUACGGUCGCAAGAUUAAAACUCAAAGGAAUUGACGGGGGCCCGCACAAGCGGUGGAGCAUGUGGUUCAAUUCGAAGCAACGCGAAGAACCUUACCAACCUUUGACAUGUCCCGUAUGAGCACCAGAGAUGGAGCUCUUCAGUUCGGCUGGCGGGAACACAGGUGCUGCAUGGCUGUCGUCAGCUCGUGUCGUGAGAUGUUGGGUUAAGUCCCGCAACGAGCGCAACCCUCGCCCUUAGUUGCCAUCAUUCAGUUGGGCACUCUAAGGGGACUGCCGGUGAUAAGCCGCGAGGAAGGUGGGGAUGACGUCAAGUCCUCAUGGCCCUUACAGGUUGGGCUACACACGUGCUACAAUGGCGGUGACAAUGGGAUGCAAUGGAGCAAUCCUGCGCAAAUCUCAAAAAGCCGUCUCAGUUCGGAUUGCACUCUGCAACUCGAGUGCAUGAAGUUGGAAUCGCUAGUAAUCGCAGAUCAGCACGCUGCGGUGAAUACGUUCCCGGGCCUUGUACACACCGCCCGUCACACCAUGGGAGUUGGUUUUACCUGAAGACGGUGCGCUAACCGCAAGGAGGCAGCCGGCCACGGUAGGAUCAGCGACUGGGGUGAAGUCGUAACAAGGUAACCAAGGG
rnacentral:rRNA from 1 species